UACGGAGGGUGCGAGCGUUGUCCGGAAUCAUUGGGCGUAAAGGGCGCGUAGGUGGCCCGGUCAGCGUGCGGUGAAAGCUCGGGGCUCAACCCCGAGUCGGCCGUGCGAACUGCUGGGCUUGAGCACUGUAGAGGCAGGCGGAAUUCCGGGUGUAGCGGUGGAAUGCGUAGAGAUCCGGAAGAACACCGGUGGCGAAGGCGGCCUGCUGGGGCAGUGGCUGACACUGAGGCGCGACAGCGUGGGGAGCAAACAGGGAUUAGAAACCGAGUA
rnacentral:rRNA from 1 species